GUAACUUGUCGAUCACAGCUUGGUUUUCUAAGGACAAACAUGCCAUUAGAGAAUACAUCAGAAUCCCAUCUCGUUCUAGCUGCUUCAUCUCUUUCGUAGAUAAAAUCUCAACUCCACUCUCUUCUUCGGCAGAAGAAAAAUGCACGGUCUUGUUGAAGCAGUUGAUAUGAACUCGGUUAUACUCUAACCAAUUCAUCCCAAAUAUAACAUCCAUCCCCGUCAGUGGUAAGCAAACUAAAUCUACUUCAAAAUCCCUACCAAACAUAGAUAUAGGACAUAUCAAACAAACAAGAGAAGUAGUCACUGAACCCUUAGCUGGAGUUUCAACGACC
rnacentral:lncRNA from 1 species